rnacentral:rRNA from 1 species
GAUGAACGCUGGCGGCGUGCUUAACACAUGCAAGUCGAACGAUGAAGCCUAGCUUGCCGGGUGGAUUAGUGGCGAACGGGUGAGUAACACGUGAGUAACCUGCCCUUAAUUCUGGGAUAAGUCGGGGAAACUAGGUCUAAUCCCGGAUAGGAGCGCCUACCGCAUGGAGGGUGUUGGCAGGAUUUGUCGGUGUUGGAUGGACUCGUGGCGUAUCAUCUUGUUGGUGAGAGAUUGUCUCACGAAGGCGACGUGAGCUAGCCGGCCUGAGAGGGGGACCGGCCACACGGCGACUAAGACACGGGCCAGACGCCUACGGGAGGCAUCAGUGGGGAGUAUUGGCCAGAGGGCGAGAGCCUGAGGCGGCGACGCCGGGUGUGGGAUGACGGCCUUCGGGUGGUAAAGCGCAUUCAGUAGGGAUGAAGCGGUAGUGACGGUACCGGCAGAAGAAGCACCGGCUAACUACGUG